AACUGUUGCUGCUUUCCGUUUAAUUUUCUUCCAGGAAUGCGGUAUAAACGAAGAGGAGUGGAUAAAAAUGGAAAUGUUGCAAAUUAUGUGGAGACUGAGCAGUUAAUUCAUGUUCAUAAUCAUACUCUGUCGUUUAUUCAAACUCGAGGCUCCGUGCCCGUCUUUUGGAGCCAGGUUGGGUAUCGCUAUAAUCCAAGACCUCGACUAGACAAAAGUACGCACAUCAGUUAUUUGGUUUGCAAGUGAAGGUUUCCAUGGGAAUUUUUAAAUAAAAAUCAGGUGCCAGAUAGGUAUAAAUUUGUUUCAUUUAAAACAAUAACUCUCAGGGCUGGGAUGUGACUGAGGAAUGGUUUGCUGACCAGCCAGCUGGAAGCCCUGUUCAAUCCCUGUACUAAAAACUGCACAACAAAAGCCAACCCUCCCACU
rnacentral:lncRNA from 1 species